UGAGCGAGGGCACUCGUUUAAAAAACAGGCUUCGAAUCACUGAGGGAAGUUGAUCACUUGUCCAGUUUUGCAUGAUGGCCGGUGCUGCCCAGAACAGGCACUAAGGAUCCCUCUGUGGGCUUCCUGGGUGUCGGCGGAGUUGUUCCCACGUUUGCAAAGGCAAACUUGCAAGAUGACGU